UGUGGCAGAAUAGUGCGGUGGACUUAAACCCCAUAAAUAAAGUAUAACUUUCUUUAGAA
rnacentral:tRNA from 1 species